AGUAAAGCUCAGUGGUAAAGCAUGUGUUUAGCAAGCAUAGGACCCUGAGUUCAAUUCCCAAUACU
rnacentral:tRNA from 1 species